UACGAAGGGGGCUAGCGUUGCUCGGAAUCACUGGGCGUAAAGCGCACGUAGGCGGAUCUUUAAGUCAGGGGUGAAAUCCCAGAGCUCAACUCUGGAACUGCCUUUGAUACUGUCGAUCUCGAGUAUGGAAGAGGUGAGUGGAAUUCCGAGUGUAGAGGUGAAAUUCGUAGAUAUUCGGAGGAACACCAGUGGCGAAGGCGGCUCACUGGUCCAUUACUGACGCUGAGGUGCGAAAGCGUGGGGAGCAAACAGG
rnacentral:rRNA from 1 species